GACGAACGCUGGCGGCGUGCUUAACACAUGCAAGUCGAACGGAAAGGCCCUGCUUUUGUGGGGUGCUCGAGUGGCGAACGGGUGAGUAACACGUGAGUAACCUGCCCUUGACUUUGGGAUAACUUCAGGAAACUGGGGCUAAUACCGGAUAGGAGCUCCUGCUGCAUGGUGGGGGUUGGAAAGUUUCGGCGGUUGGGGGUGGACUCGCGGCUUAUCAGCUUGUUGGUGGGGUAGUGGCUUACCAAGGCUUUGACGGGUAGCCGGCCUGAGAGGGUGACCGGCCACAUUGGGACUGAGAUACGGCCCAGACUCCUACGGGAGGCAGCAGUGGGGAAUAUUGCACACUGGGCGGAAGCCUGAUGCAGCAACGCCGCGUGCGGGAUGACGGCCUUCGGGUUGUAAACCGCUUUCGCCUGUGACGAAGCGUGAGUGACGGUAAUGGGUAAAGAAGCACCGGCUAACUACGUG
rnacentral:rRNA from 1 species